GAGACCGCUUAGGCGACAUACUCGACAAGAUACAUAAACUCGAACUACAUGGACAUUGAUCCCAAUCUUUUUGAGUACUAAGACAGUCGUAAAAACACAAGUACAUCCAUAUUAUAUUCCCAACAUUCCACACCUUAAUAGAACAAAGAGCUACACAGUAACAAUAUCUAUAUGAAACUAAUAACCGAACCACUCAAAGAACUGAUUGAGUUUGUAAACAACAGAAUCAAUAAACCAAGGCUGGUGCAUAGAACUUAACUAGCUACUGGAUAACGGUAAUCUAAUCAAAGUAAAGCCAGAACAAAACAAACGAAAAUAAAAACGGCACCUUGCGAAUCGAAUACUAAAGAUCGUCCACUUCCCAAUCUCUAAUCAAACGGUGUUACGCUCCCCUCAAUCCAUCGCAGCCCCUCAACUAGUCAGCUCCCAACUAAUCAGCUCCCCGCUGAUCUUGAUUGAAUCGGCCAAAGUCGAGAACUCCGUAACUCCCGGGGUAAGCAGCUCCCCGCAACUUCAACACCAUUGCUCCUGUAUUCGUCCCGUUCCGAAAGCGUAAAUAAUAGAAGACGAUGAUAGUUGGCUUUUAUAGUUGCUGGAGGUUUCUUCUUGCUAGUGAAUUACGCCAACUAAAGCUUCGUCGAACCUCCAUUCUUUCCUUUCUCAGAUCCACGCUGCAAAUAGGAAGGACUACAACAAACCUCCUUUUCCUUUUUCUGCUCAGCUUCCUCGUUAGGGUAAGCGAGCACAUGCAGCGGCAGCUUUCAACUCGGCCACGUUAUGGC
rnacentral:lncRNA from 1 species